rnacentral:rRNA from 1 species
AGUCAACCCCGUAAACGAUGAGUGCAAAGUGAAGAGGCCUUCCGCCACUUGGAGUGCUGAAGUAACGCAUUAAGCACUCCGCCUGGGGGAGUACGCCGCAAGGCUGAAACUCAAAGGAAGACGGGGGCCCGCACAAGCGGUGGAGCAGUGGAAAUUCGAAGCAACGCGAAGAACCUUACCAGGUCUGACAUCCAUCGGAAAACGCCAAGAGAUACGGGCUUCGUCCUUCGGGAGCAGAGAUGACAGGUGGUGCAUGGCUGUCGUCAGCUCGUGUCGUGAGAUGUGGGUUAAGUCCCGCAACGAGCGCAACCCUUGACUCUUAGUGCCAUCGAUAAGU